UGUCCAUGCCAAAGAUCCUUGGAAAGUCCA
rnacentral:piRNA from 1 species